rnacentral:lncRNA from 1 species
GGGGAGCUGGGACCCCCGGUACGAAAUGGGGCCGGUACCGGGGGGUGGCCCGCCGGGGGUCCGGGCACCCCCCCCCCCCCAAGUGUGCGCCGUGAGCUGCACCGGGGGGGGCGCGGUGGCAGCUGGGCGCCCCAGUGGGGUGCUGUCACCUGUACCGGUGACACCCAGUAUGGCACUGGGCAGCGCUGGCACCCAGUGGGGCGCUGUCCCCUGCACCGGUGACACCCCGUGGGGCGCUGUCACCCAUACUGGGGACACCCAGUUUUGGCACUGGGUACCCCUGUCACCCAGUGGGGCACUGCCACCCACACCAGUGACACCCAGUAUGGCACUGUCCCCUGCACUGGUGACACCCAGUAUGGCACUGGGUACCCCUGUCACCCACACCAGUGACACCCCCAUGGCACUGUCCCCCCCCCACUGGUGUCACCCACUGGAGCUCUGGGCCCCCUGCCACCCCCCCAUGGCGCUGUCCCCUGCACCCCAGCUGGGCACCCACCUUGGGGACAACCCCGGGGCUGGGGAAGCCACAGGCACCCUGGGGUGGCCCUGCUGGGGGGGCCGGGUCACCAGAGCCGCCCCCCACCCGUGGGUGCCCCGUGGCACCGGGGACACCCAGCACCCUGCAGGAUGUCACCAGUGGGCGCCCACAGCUGCUCCCGGGGGGGCUGCCCCGAGCCCCCACCUCCUGAUACCGGGUGGGUGCCAGCACCCUGAGGGUCCCUGGGGGGGGGCACACAUCAGACGACCACCGUGGGGCUGGGGACCUCUGGGGACAUCCCGGUGCCCACAGGGGGGCACCUGGGCUGGGGUGCAGCCGUGUGCCCCCCCCCCGGGGAACCGUGCCGGGGAGGCCACCAAAGCCACCAGCCCCACGCUCGCUGUGCCCCCCCAAAGUGCCCCCCCCCGGCUGUGCCGUGGCACAAGGGUGCUGGGGGCUGUUAUGGGGUGCUGGGGGCUUUUUUGGGGUACUGGGGGCUUUUAUGGGGGUACCAGGUCCUGCCCCGCAGCACGGGGGGGGCCACUUCCAGCCCAGCCGAGGCCGCCACGUGCCGCCGUGCCCAGGUGCCAGGUGAGCGGCGCGGGGACACACGUGGCACCGUGCCCCCCCCCCACCUCACCGUCCCUGCACGGCACCGCACGCAUCCCCCCCCCAGUCCUGCACCCCUUGGCAGGGCAGACCCCGGGGCCUUUUUUUUUUCCCCUGCAGCCCCCCUCCCCCCAAGGGGGACAAGGGGGGCAGCUGGGGGGGGGAGGUCAGANNNNN